GGUAUCGGUAGUGGAUGCGACGACUCGAUCAGCUCAACUCCGGUUUCUUCGAGGAGUGGGCACAACCAAAGGAAAAUUGGCUCAAUGAGCAGCAGGAAGAAUAAGCGAAAGUUUCGCCCUAGUGGACUAGUCGAGAUGGAACAUCGGAGUUUCUGAGGAGGACAAACGCUAUUUUUCAUCGAAAAACAGGACCAUCCGGGAGAAUGGGAUCAACGAUCGCACUGGCAGCCACGAGUGCCCUUUUCACCUGCCACUUCAUCGGCUUGUGCGUGGACGACAGAAA